GCAACAAUUGUGUGUUUGAUUUUUUUUUUUACAGAUGAGCAUGCAUGGUAUUGAAUACAUGUAUUUAUAUCUUGUCAUUUGCUAUUGUUGUAAUGUGAUAGUUAAGACAGUAAUGUUUUCUGUUGUAUUAAUGUACAUUUACUGCUGUUAAAUUAUUUUUUGUUUCCUGUUGUAUUAUUGUUUUGCGUUUACAGUUAUAUCUAUUUAAUUUGGUAUGAUGUUAUUAUAAUAUUCGUCACAUUUGUUUACAUGAUGUAUUAUUUGACAUGAAAAACUUCCUUUUGAACGCGACAGCAGGCUUCCUGUAGUAAUACAGGUGGCCGCUAGGAGGUGCUGGUGCUCAAAGCCAGCCUGCCAAGAAAAAAGACGAUGAAGAAAGUAAUUGGACUUUUCCCAAAAGUAACGCUACAGUAAAAAGUGUUUUUUUUUUACUGUUCAAAGCUGACUUAGUUUUUCUAGAGGUGUUAAAAGUCAACAUUUGUUGAAGUCAUCUGGAUGAAAGCAGGUCUUCUGGACACUUUAGUAAUGUUUUGGAGGCACAAGAAGCAUCUUUGCAGUCGCACCUCCUUCAGAUUUGACCUUUCACAUUUUGGAUGGGAGGACGGUGCAGAUGUCUUGGAGGCGGUCGCGCUCUGACAUUCAGGGCUACAGGAUACACGUGACAUCUGACACAGGAGAAAUAACACGAGAAUUGGUUUUGGCCCCAUCUGCCAGCAGCACCUCUAUCUCUGACCUGCGUCCAGAUGUGGACUACUCUGUUAGCAUAUCAGCGUACGCAGGAACACAGGAGAGUCUUCCUGUCUAUGGUCAGAUCACGAUCAAGUCAGGCAACGUUUCGCAAGGACCUUCAAGAAGACCAGACUCCACCUCCCUCAAAUGCUCUGUGAGCGCAGUGGCAGAUGUGGUCUUCCUGGUGGAUGUCGGUCGGACCUACUUCAAACAUGUGCGCACUUUCAUGUCGGCCGUGGCCAGCGCUUUUCAAAUCGGCGAAGAUAAAACACGUGUGGGAGUGGUCCAGUACAACGGGGAUACGCCCACCGGGUUCAGACUGGACCGGCACCUGAGCCGACCUUUGCUGAUGCAUGCCAUCGGCUCGCUGGUGUACGACAGAGACAACACCAGGACAGGUGACGCUCUGGACUACCUGUUGACAAACACCUUCGCGGAGACGGCGGGCGCCAGAACAGCAUUUCCUAAAGUCCUGCUGAUCAUCACAGACGGCAUGUGGGAAGAUUCCGUGCAACGCUCUGCCAGGCGACUGAGGAGCGCGGGCGUGGAGAUCUUUGUUGUCGGAAUCCAGCAGGGCGAUGACGAGACGAUGAAGGCGCUGGCCUCUUCUCCUUCCAAAGGUCAUGUCUUUAAGGUGGCCACCUUGGACAGGAUUCAAAAUAUUCAGAGGGAGGUCGUCAGUCAGGUGUGUGCUGGCGUGGAAGACCAGCUCAGCUCUCUGGCCAGUGGAGAAGAAGUCGUCGAGCCCGCAGCCAACCUUCAGGUCCUGGAGGUGGCCUCAAAGACCAUGAGGGUGAGCUGGAGCGCCUCCAUUGGCGAUGUUUCUGGAUACAAGCUGCAGAUGAUUCCAAUGAUGGCUGGUGGUAAGCAUCAAGAACUGUACGUGGGCUCAAGCCAGACCUCAUUGGUGGUCCGAGACCUCUCGCCUGACAUGGAGUACCAGAUCAGCUUGUUCGCGUUGAAAGGUCUCACACCAAGUGAGCCUGUGGUUGCCCUGCAGAGGACUCAGCCAGUGAAGGUGUCAGUGGAAUGUUCUCUUGGUGUGGACGUCCAAGCGGACGUGGUUCUCCUGGUGGACGGGUCCUAUAGUAUCGGCCUAGCCAACUUUGCUAAAGUUCGAGCCUUUUUGGAGGUGUUAGUGACCACCUUUGACAUCGGACCAAAUAAGGUCCAGAUCAGCUUGACCCAGUACAGCCGCGACCCGCACACCGAAUUUUUCUUGAACACCCACAGCGACUUGAGCGGUGUGGUCAAAGCGGUGAGGUCUUUUCCGUACCGAGGCGGUUCCACCAACACAGGCAAGGCCAUGACUUUCGUGAGGGAGAAGAUCUUCCAGCUGUCCAAAGGUGCACGGGCCAACGUUCCUCGCGUCACCAUCCUCAUCACGGACGGAAAGUCUUCCGACACCUUCCAGGAGCCGGCCACGAAGCUGAGGGAUGCCGAUGUGGAGAUCUUUGCAGUAGGUGUGAAAGAUGCCGUACGAUCAGAGCUAGAGGCUAUCGCCAACGCCCCGGCUGAGACGCACGUGUACACCGUGGAAGACUUUGAUGCUUUCCAGAGGAUAUCCAAAGAGCUCACACAGUCCAUCUGCCUAAGGAUAGAGCAGGAGCUUCGCAACAUCCAAAAGAGACAGCUGGUUCAGCCCAGAGACCUGUCCUUCUCUGAGGUCACCUCGAGAAGCAUGCGUACCUCAUGGGAGAUGGACGCCACCGACGUGGAGUCCUAUUUGGUUCAGUUUAAGCCUGCGGAGAACCCCGACGGCCAUUUGGUGUCCAUGUCUGUACCCGGGGACACUCUCACUGCCAUCCUACCGUACCUGACCCCCCUUACACGCUACCAAGUCAACAUCUCUGCUCAGUAUGACCGGGGCGACAGUUUGCCCCUGAGUGGCUACAAGACCACCCUUGAGGAACUAAGUCCAGUUCGCAACCUGAGAGUGUCCGAGGAGACCACGGACAGCUUCCGGGUGUCGUGGCAGCCGGCAAGAGGAGCAGUAAUCCGCUACCACUUGACCUUUGAACCUGUCGGUGAAGCAGGGGCCAAGGCAGAGGUGACUACGCUCGGUGAUGAGACCACCAUCGUGCUGCAGGGGCUCCAACCUCAGACCACUUAUCUGGUCAUUGUCGCUGCUGAGUACCAGUCAGCCUCUGGACCGCCACUACAGACGCAUGGCACCACUAAAGAAGAGGUGGGUGCUCCUAAAAACUUGUUAACUCGGGACGUGACAGACAACAGUUUUUCCGUGCGGUGGACGGCCGCUCCCGGGAAUGUUCGAAUGUACCGAGUCCGAUGGCAGUCCAUGUAUUCCCAAGAGUCUGGUGAGAAGAUGAUCCCAGGAGACCAAACCUACACUUUGCUAGAAGGUUUGAGCCCAGAGACGCUCUACCAUGUCUCUGUGGUCGCCAACUAUCAGCACAAAGACAGCCAGCCAGUCUCUGGACACGAAACCACUGACGCUUCCGCUGAGGGUAAAAGUCUAAGCGUGACUGAUGAGACAGAGCGCAGCAUGAAGGUCACUUGGCUGCCGGCGCCCGGCAAGGUGCUCCACUACCGUCUCAAGUAUAUUCCCAGCGCUGGAGGCCGGGAAGUAGUCCUCAAGAUCCCAGAGGGGGUCACGUCCUCUGUCCUGAAGAGACUGCAGCCUUUAACCUCGUACAGCAUCAGUGUUCAUCCCAUCUACAAGCGCGGGGAAGGAAAAGCAAGGCAAGGAGUAGGAAGCACACUGUCACCUUACAAGGCUCCACAGAACCUGCAGACCUCAGAGCCCACCAAGACCAGUUUCAGAGUCUCCUGGGAUCCAUCACCUGGGAAUGUUCGGGGCUACAAGGUGACCUUCCACCCCGCUGGGAAUGAUAUUGACCUGGCUGAGCUGCUUGUGGGCCCCUAUGAUAACACUGUGGUUCUGGAGGAACUCAGGGCGGGAACAAAAUAUUCGGUGGCCGUGUUCGGGAUGUUUGAUGGAGGGGAGAGUUUGCCUCUGGCAGGAGAGGAAAAGACAACACUUUCUGACGCUCCCGAGCCACCUGCGUUCGGUCCUUCUGACACACAAUGUAAGACCUCAUCCAAGGCAGACAUUGUGCUGCUGGUCGACGGCUCCUGGAGUAUCGGCCGCAUCAACUUUAAAACUAUACGCAACUUCAUCACUCGCAUGGUCAGCGUCUUUGACAUCAGCCCCAAUAAUGUCCAGAUCGGUUUAGCUCAGUACAGUGGAGACCCUAAGACCGAGUGGCACUUGAAUGCUCACCCCACCAAGGCGUCCUUGCUGGAGGCUGUGAGCAACCUGCCUUACAAAGGAGGAAACACCAUGACAGGGCUGGCUCUAAGCUACAUCCUCCAGAACAACUUCAAGCGCAACGUGGGAAUGCGCGAAGACUCUCGUAAAAUCGGCAUCCUGAUCACAGAUGGAAAGUCCCAGGAUGAAAUUGUCACCAACUCGCAGAAUCUGAAAGAGAGCGGCAUCGAGCUCUACGCCAUCGGCGUGAAGAACGCAGAUGAGAAUGAGCUUCGGUCUAUUGCCAGCGAUCCCGAUGAAAUUCACAUGUACAACGUCAACGACUUCAAGUUUCUGAUGGACAUUGUGGAUGACCUCACCCUCAAUCUUUGUAACAGCGUCAAGGGCUCAGCAGAAGAGCUGGAGGCGCCCACCAACCUGGUGACCUCCGAGGUGACCCAUCGCUCCUUCCGCGCCACCUGGACCGCGCCUGACGGUCCUGUGGAGAGAUUCCGUGUGGUAUACGUGAGGGCGGCCGGAGGAGCUGCACAAGAGAUGCUGCUUGACGGCUCUGUGACCUCUGUGAUCCUGGACGAUCUAAGCCCGCUCACUGAGUACUUUGUUAGCGUCUACUCUGUGGCUGGCGAGGAGAGCAGCGAGCCAUUGGCGGGCACAGAGACCACCUUGCCGCUGCCGGCCGUAACGUCCAUGAAUGUUUACGAUGAGACGAUGAACUCUAUGAGGGUACGUUGGGAGAGAGUAGGCGGAGCCAGUGGUUACGUUGUGUUAUACCGCUCCAUCAACGCUACAGAGCCUCAGAUAGAUCAGGAGGUCCGUGUUGGAGCAGAUGUGAGCGACAUCCAGCUGACACAGCUGCUUCCCAACAUGGCAUAUUCAAUCUCCAUAUUGGCUCAGCACGUAGAAGCGGUCAGCGAGCCGGUGAAGGGCACUGGAGUUACGCUGCCUUUGCCUCCUAGUGGAGCUCUCAGGAUUUCGGCCGUCACUCACAGCAGCAUGAGACUCAACUGGGAUGCCGCGCCAGGACCUGUGCGCAAGUACCUGGUGAUCUACCGGGCCGAGGAUGGAGACUCCAAAGAGCGUGAGGUCAGCGGUGACAUCACCACCUUUGACCUAUCUGGCCUAACCUCCCAAACGGAGUAUGACGUCGCCGUGACUCCAGUCUACGACGAAGGGCCUGCCAACCCCAUGCUUGGAAACGCAAUCACAGACGUUGUUCCAGCCCCGAAGAACCUGCAGUUCUCUGAAGUUGACCUGACCUCCUUUAGGGCUACGUGGGAGCAUGGAGCGCCGGAUGUGGCUCUGUACCGCAUCGGCUGGACGAAGAAAGGCCAAAACGACGACCACUCUACCAUCCUUGGCAACGAUGAGACAUCCCAUAUUCUGCAGCAGUUAGACCCAGACACCGAGUACUCCGUGACGGUCACGGCCAUCUACCCAGAUGAGUCCGAAAGUGAAGACUUAAUGGGAAACGAGCGCACGUUGUUAAAGGCUGUGGAGGUGCGACCGGAACCUCCUAGAAACCUGAAAGUUUACAAUGCCACAAUCAGCACAUUGGCGGUGAGGUGGGACCCCGCUCCUGGCCCCGUGCAGAACUACAAGAUCCUUUACGCUCCUCUUGCUGGUGGCGAGCCCCUUGCUACGCAGGUCGGAGGCAAGAAGACCAGCACCGUCCUGCAGAAAUUGUCCCCAGACACUCCGUACGUGGUGACCAUGACUGCUGUGUACCCCACUGGCCUCAGCAAAGACAUUUCAGCAGAAGGAAGAACCAAACCUCUGGGUGGCGUGAGGAACCUGCAGGUGGUCAACCCGACCAUGACCACGUUGAACGUGCGCUGGGAGCCGGCCGAGGGUCGUGUGAAAGAGUACAAAGUCAUCUACGCUCCUGCAGCUGGAGGAGCUGAGAGCAUGGAGCAGGUGUCAGCGGGCAGCACCAGCACCACCCUGAGAGGCCUGCAUCCUGACACCCUCUACACCGUCUCCCUGGUGCCCGUCUACAACGAGGGAGAUGGCAAGACCAUGUCUGAAAAUGGAAAAACACGGCCGCUUGGAGGUGUAAAGAACCUUCAGGUGACCGACCCCACCAUGACAUCUCUCAACGUUAAGUGGGCCCCAGCUGAUGGAGCCGUUCGGUUGUACAAAGUUUUCUAUGUGCCUGUUGCUGGCGGCCGCGAGGAGAUGGAGCAAGUUCCUGCCAACGUCGACUCCAUCAUCCUCAGGAACCUUCUUCCUGACACGGCUUACGCUGUGUCAGUCUUGCCAGUUUACCCAGCUAGGGAGGGUAAACGUCAGUCUGAGACUGGAAAGACUUUGCCUCUAGGAGGCGUCGGCAACAUGAAGGUAAGCAGCCCCACAAUCACCACACUCACGGUCACCUGGAACCCUGCAGACGGAAAUGUUCAAGGCUACAAGGUCAUUUACGUCCCGGUCGAUGGAGGCCUGGAGAUUGUGGAGCAAGUGUCUGAGAGCACCACCACCACCGUCCUGGAGAAGCUUCUCCCAGACACCCGCUACACUGUCACCGUGGUUCCGGUCUACGCCGAGGGUGACGGUCCGAGUCUGACCGACAGUGGCAAGACAAAGCCGCUGGGCGUGGUGAGGAAUCUUCAGGUGUUGGAUCCCACUACCAGCACCCUUAAUGUGCGCUGGGAGCCCGCCGAGGGGAACGUGCGCGAGUACAUUGUCAUCUGGGUGUCGAGUGGAGGCGGAGAGCAGGAUGUGGACCAGGUGUCUGGAUCCACCACGUCCACUGUGCUCAAGAACCUGGACCCCGACACUGAGUACACCGUCACUGUUGUGCCCGUUUACCACGAGAUGGAGGGACUGCCGCUGUCUGAAAACGGGAAAACGAACCCGUUCGGGGGGGUGAAUAACCUGCAGGUGAUUGACCCGACCAUCAACACCCUGACGGUGCGCUGGGAACCAGCAGUGGGCAAUGUGCGCGGCUAUAGGCUCACAUACUCGGCAGAGCCUGAUGGAGUACAACAAACGGAGGAGGUGGCAGCUGGCACCACCAGCACCAUCCUGAGAAACCUAGACUCAGAAACCGUCUACAACGUGGUUGUGGUUCCCAUCUAUCCGGACGUGGAGGGCAUCCCGAAGGCUGACAAGGGAACGACCAAGCCCCUGAGCGGCGUGAAGAAUCUCCGUGUGACCGACCCCACCACCAACUCCCUCAGGGUGCGCUGGGACCCAGCCGACGGCGAUGUUAGGCAGUACAGGAUCCUCUACGUUCCUGCUGUAGGAGGAGACGAGCUCAUGACUCAGGAGUCUGGCAUUGUGACCAACGCAAUGCUAAGAGAACUGCAGCCUGACACAGAGUACAAGGUGACACUGGUGCCCAUAUACGCCGACGUGGAGGGAAAGCGCAUGUCUGAGAACGGGAAGACAAAGCCGCUGGGCGGCGUGAAGAACCUGCAGGUCACAGAUCCCACCACCAGCACCCUCAAAGUCCGCUGGGAGCCCGCGGAGGGAAAUGUGCGCCAGUACCGCCUCUUCUACGUGCCUGUAGCCGGGGGCGCAGAGGACAUGCAGGAGCAGGUAUCAGGCGGAACCACUGACACCAUUCUGAGGAACCUCCUCUCAGACACAUCUUAUUCUGUCACCGUGGUGCCCGUCUACCCGGAGGGCGAGGGUCUGCGCCUCACGGAACCGGGACAAACUCUUCCACGCACGCCACCGCGUAACAUCCAGGUGUACAAUCCCAGCCCCAACAGCCUCAACGUGCGCUGGGAGGUGGCCUCAGGCCAGGUGCAGCAAUACCGUGUGGAGUAUGCCCCCCUGAACGGAGCCGCACAACCUCAGUCUGCAUUUGUUCCAGGAAAUGUCAACAACGCCUUCCUUGACAACCUAAUCCCGGACACUCCCUACUCGGUUAGUGUGUCUGCCAUGUACCCUGAUGGUGAAGGCGUGUCACUGCAGAGCAAUGGCAAAACAUUACCGCGUACCGGACCUCGAAACCUGCGAGUGUUUGAAGCCACCACCAACUCUCUCACCAUUGGGUGGGACCAUGCUGAGGGUCCCGUGAGACAGUACCGGAUUGGGUACGCCCCCAUGACAGGAGACCCCAUCACAGAAUAUGCUGUAGUUUCUGGAAACAGAAACAACGCCAGACUGCUGAACCUCUUUCCGGACACGCCAUACAACAUCACGGUGGAGGCCAUCUAUGCUGAGGGCCCUGGAGGACUCCUCAAUGGGAACGGACGCACAGUUGGCCUGCUGAGUCCAAGGAACCUGCGUGUCUCAGAUGAGUGGUACACGCGCUUCCGGGUGGCAUGGGACCCGGUGUCAGCUCCUGUGGAAGGAUACAAACUCAUCUACUCGCCUAAAGCGACAGACCAAUCCAUUGACUUCUUUGUGGGCGACGUGACGUCUUACACGCUGCACAAUCUGAAGCCUGGCACAACCUAUGACGUCAAAGUCUUGGCACAGUACGGCGGAGGCUCGAGUGCGCCGCUGGCCGGGCAAGGAACAACGCUGUUCCUGAACGUGACCAACAUCGAGACCUACAACAUCGCUCACAACAAGUUCUGCGUCAAGUGGAUGCCUCACAGAGCGGCCACGUCGUACCGCCUCCGACUGAACCCUGUUGACCCGUCCAGUAGAGGUCAACACGAGAUCACCAUUCCAGCCGGCGUUCCUCAGUACUGCUUUGAUGGACUUUCCCCUGACGCCUUGUACACUGCCACGGUCUUUGUCCAGACACCCAACCUGGAGGGACCCGGCGCCAGCACCAGGGAAAAAACCUUGAUCAAACCAACUCCCAUUCCGACGCUCCCGCCCACACCCAGCCCACCACCCACAAUCCCCCCCUCAUGGGAAGUGUGCAAAGGUGCCAAAGCAGAUGUUGUGUUCCUCAUUGACGGCUCGUGGAGUAUCGGCGAAGAGAGCUUCACCAAAGUCGUGCAUUUUGUCUCCAGCAUUAUCGGAGCCUUUGACGUGAUCGGACCGACUGGGAUGCAGGUGUCGUUCGUGCAGUACAGUGACGAUGCAAAGACUGAGUUCAAGCUCAACGCAUACCAAGACAAAGGUGUUGCCAUGUUGGCGCCUCAUCACAUCCGCUAUAGAGGAGGAAACACCAAAUCAGGAGUGGCUCUUAAGCACACAUACGAAAAGGCCCUCUCUAUAGAGAACGGCAUGAGAAGGAACGUCCCCAAGGUCGUGGUGGUCAUCACAGAUGGACGUUCUCAGGAUGAAGUGAAGAAGAGUGCCGCCAAGCUACAGCAUGCAGGUUACAGCGUCUUCGCGAUUGGCGUGGCUGAUGUGGACUUCGUGGAGCUGCAGGAGAUCAGCAGCAAGCCCAGUGAGAGACACGUCUUCGUUGUGGACGACUUUGACGCUUUUGACACCAUCAAGGAGAACCUGAUCACGUUCAUUUGUGAAACGGCCACCUCCAGGUGUCCGCUAAUUUUUGUCAACGGCUUCACGUCUCCUGGUUUCCGAAUGCUGGAGACUUUUAACCUGACAGAGAAAAGCUACGGUCAAGUGCGAGGUGUCUCCAUGGAGCCCGGAUCUUUCAACAGCUUCACGUCCUACAGACUCCACAAGAAUGCCUUCCUGACGAUGCCCAGCAUAGAAGUGCACCCAGAAGGCCUUCCUCAUGUCUACACCAUCAUCCUCAUGUUCCGCCUGUUGCCUGACUCGCCGAAUGAGGCUUUUGACAUUUGGCAGGUGUCCAGCCCAGAUCACAAACCAGAGACCGGCGUCACCAUUGAUCCCUCCAGACAGACUGUGUCUUUCUACAACAAGGACGAGCGAGGUGAGAUCCAGCGGGUCACUUUCGACGAGCCUCAGGUCAAGCAAAUCUUCCAUGGAAGCUUCCACAAGCUGCACAUCCUGGUUUCAUCCACUGACGUCAAACUCAACAUUGACUGCCAACACGUGGUCGAAAAGAACAUCAAAGUGUCUGGAAGUACGUCCAAAGAUGGCUAUCAUGUCUUGGGAAAAAUGUCAAAGUCCAUCGGCUCCAGAGGAGAGUCAGCCACUUUCCAGCUGCAGAUGUUUGAUAUUGUGUGCACGUUGGCGUGGACCAGCAGGGACCGCUGCUGUGACCUUCCAUCUAUGAGAGAUGAGACUAAGUGUCCGUCCCUACCCAAUGCGUGCAAGUGCACUUCCAGUGGCAGCGGACCUCCUGGACCUCAGGGACCAGUGGGUGCCCCCGGCAAAAAAGGGCCACGGGGAGAAAGAGGAGAACUCGGUUCCCUUGGGCCAGUUGGCCCGCAUGGAGAUAUGGGACCACCCGGACCCAUGGGCCUGCCGGGACCCCAAGGACCCAGCGGACGGUCGAUGCCAGGAGAGGCUGGCCGCCCUGGACCCAAAGGAGAACCUGGGGACUCCGGUCUAACUGGACAAAAAGGCUCACCAGGACCUCGUGGGCCCAUUGGACCCAUCGGUCCAGCUGGAGUGAGGGGUCCUCAAGGAAAGGAAGGACUGGUUGGACCCAGAGGACCUGCUGGGCCGAUGGGACCCCCAGGGUCUCCAGGAGCGCCGGGUGUGGAAGGAAAAGCCGGAAACACCGGAUCUCGUGGACCAGCUGGUUCUAUGGGUCCAAAGGGAGACAAGGGAGAGCGAGGUGACUUUGCUCCUCAGAACAUGAUGCGCUCCGUCGCCAGGCAGGUGUGUGAGCAGCUCGUCAAUGCCCAGAUGAACCGCGUCAACAACUUAGUCAAUCAGAUCCCGAAUGGCAUGUCUCGCAGCAACAACCCAGGUCCUCCCGGCCCACCUGGACCUCCCGGUAGGCCCGGUCCACAGGGAGAACUGGGACCUGCAGGAAGAAACGGCUUCCCUGGAAACCCAGGUUUACCGGGUCAAGCCGGAGAAGCAGGGCCAGCGGGAGAGAAGGGCGAACGAGGCUUAGCAGGAGUGGGACCGAAAGGCCCAAAGGGACCUCCUGGUAUGUUUUAACCUUCAACUGACUGCGCCUACAUGGCACGCAUUUCAGAUCUCAGUUCACAAAAUAGUUUUUCAUGUUUGUUGCGCAUUUGUCAACACUUGUUCCCGCUUAGCAUCCAAAUAUGUAAAAGUAUUUCAAAAGUGAGUCAUCAAAGGCAGCAUUCCUAAAUUUUACGAAUUUUUCGUCUUCAAUGUUCACCUGUUCUAACUUAAAAAAUUUCUCAUCUGAGAGACUUCUCAAGUCAUUAUCAUCACCAUCACUGUCCAUGGUUGUCCCAUAGGUCCACAAGGAAAGUAGGACAGGAUCGCCAGGACCACCAGGCUCCACAGGACCACGCGGUCCUCCUGGGCGUCCCGGUUACGCUGGAGUCCGUGGACCCCCCGGACCUCCCGGAUACUGCGACUCUUCCCAGUGUGUCGGUAUUCCUUACAACGGUCAAGGAUACGUAGGUUCUGCGUAGUGAUUUGUUUGCCGCCGGUGCCGCUUUCACUGACUUCCUGAAACGCUCGCUGGCUUAAAGGAAGCUUUAACAAACAAGAAGAACAGGAAGCAGUACUAAAAGACACAGGAAGCAGUACUAACAACGUUUGCAUCAUGACCACCAGACAAGGAGGAGCAUGUGGACGACAACAACAGAAAUACUAAUGUGUCCCCAUGGAAACACACUCAACAUGCUUUGUUGCCUAGCAACCUGCUGCUUGCCAUCAGCCGUAUAACUCUAUCUAAUCUAAUCUAAUCUGAUCAUGCAUGUGACAUGUGACGGCGUGAAAGAGAAGUUACCUGUCAGCAGUAGAUGCUUCUUGAGUGGGUCUUCAAUCAGUACCUAAUCAAGUGACUUUGUUGACUAACAUGGUUUACAUGCAAAUGAGCUGCAGUGGCCCCACCCAUCCUGCCUACUAACACCCGCCCACCAGAGAAAGACCACUAAUGGUUAAGCGGGCGGCGUGCUCUUUCCGAGCAGGCCGCCGUCCAUCUGCACCCGACACCGGCGCAGUCUUGGUCCCUGAGGAAGACGAAUCGUCUCGGGAGCGGCGCCGGAAGAGAUCGCUGGCAAGGAAUGGGUCUGAGAGUCUAGCAUCAUAAGGCGCCAUUUUCUUCUUCUUCCUGGGACUUUUUGAAACACCUUCAAGCGUCUGUGAAUAUUUCUGAGUGUGCACCUGGGGCGCUGUAACAUAUUUGCUUUUGUAUCAGCACAGAUUCAUUAAAAAGCCGCUAUUUCUUUUUCUUUCCUGUAAUCAAACAUCACCUUGUUAAGUUGCAUGUCUGUUUUUAUUCAUGCCACAAUUCUUAUUUAUUUCUCACACAAGAGGCAUUUUUCAAUAAAACUACUGAAAAAUUA